rnacentral:piRNA from 1 species
UCAUCAGUUUUGUCUGGAAUCAAGAAGC